rnacentral:tRNA from 1 species
GCGGUCGUGGCGAAGUGGUUAACGCACUGGUCUGUGGCUCCAGCACUCGCGGGUUCAAGUCCCGUCGAUCGCC